AGUGAACGCUGGCGGCAUGCCUAACACAUGCAAGUCGAACGACAGCACAGUAAGAGCUUGCUCUUACGGGUGGCGAGUGGCGGACGGGUCACGUAUACAUCGGAUUCCUCUUUUUCGUGGGUGAUAACGUAGGGCAACUUCUUCUAACACAGCAUAUGACCUACGUGUGAAAGCAGGGGUUCUUCGGGCCUUUCGCGAUUGAAUGAGCCGAUUCCGGAUUAGCUAGUUGGCUGGGUAAAGGCCCACCAAGGCCACGAUGCGUAGCUGGUCUGACAGGAUGAUCAGACACACUGGAACUGAGACACGGUCCAGACUCCUACGGGAGGCAGCAGUGGGGAAUAUUACGCAAUGGGCGAAAGCCUGAUCGAGCAAAACCGCGUGAGUGAUGAAGGAGUUCGGGUUGUAAAGCCAUGUAGGUGGGAAAGAAGAAAAGCACGUUUAAACCCGAUGGUACUGACGGUACCGAAAGAAUAAGCACCGGCUAACUUCGUG
rnacentral:rRNA from 1 species